rnacentral:lncRNA from 1 species
GUGUUAGCUUUCAUGUCAGUAUCUGAGUGGAUUUUAUUAGAGUCCUACAGUAUACUCAUAAUCACAUACUGUGAUGCCUCUCUUUUGUCCUUUUUUGUCAGGACGAGAUGACUAUUCAUGACCUUUUGUGGUUUUAUUGAAUUUAAGGAUUUUCUUUCUAUAUCAAGUAAGAUUUUCAUUGCUAGAUCGACAGGAAUGUCACUGAAUCUCUUGCUUUGAGUAAGCUGGACAUUUUAACAAUAUUUAUUCUUCUACCCAUAAGCGCACUAUAUCUUUCCAUCCAUGUCUGAGUUCAUUUUCUUUCAUCAGUGU